rnacentral:rRNA from 1 species
AUGGUGUCGAGCUCCUACUCCAACCUGCUGGACCUGGCGACCGGCGCGGCGGACCAGGGGCCGGCGCCGGCCGCGCUGGGCGCGCUGCGGCGGCGGCUCCCGAGCGUGGUCACCACGCCGGGGCUCAUGGAGGACUCCCCGGCGUCGCCCUCCACGCCGUCCCCGGCGCCGCGCCCGCGCACCAUCGUCGUCGCCAACCACCUCCCGAUCCGGGCCCACCGCCCGGCCUCGCCGGAGGAGCCCUGGACCUUCUCCUGGGACGAGGACUCGCUGCUCCGCCACCUGCAGAAGAGCUCCUCCUCCCCCUCCAUGGAGUUCAUCUACAUCGGCUGCCUCCGCGAGGACGUCCCCGUCCCCGAGCAGGACGCCGUGGCGCAGGCGCUCCUCGACUCCUACAACUGCGUGCCGGCCUUCCUCCCCGCCGACACCGCCGCGCGCUACUACCACGGCUUCUGCAAGCAGCACCUCUGGCCGCUCUUCCACUACAUGCUGCCGCUGUCCCCGGACCUCGGCGGCCGCUUCGACCGCCUUCUCUGGCAGGCCUACGUCUCCGCCAACAAGGUGUUCGCCGACAAGGUGCUGGAGGUGAUCAACCCGGACGACGACUUCGUGUGGGUGCACGACUACCACCUCAUGGUGCUCCCCACCUUCCUCCGCAAGCGCUUCAACCGCAUCAAGCUCGGCUUCUUCCUCCACUCGCCCUUCCCCUCCUCCGAGAUCUACAAGACGCUGCCCGUCCGGGAGGAGCUCCUCCGCGCGCUCCUCAACUCCGACCUCAUCGGCUUCCACACCUUCGACUACGCCCGCCACUUCCUCUCCUGCUGCGGCCGGAUGCUCGGCCUCCCCUACGAGUCCAAGCGGGGACACAUUUGCCUCGAGUACUACGGCCGCACCGUCAGCAUCAAGAUCCUGCCCGUCGGGGUCUACAUGGAGCAGCUCAACGCGGUGCUCGCCUUGCCGGAGACCGAGGCCAAGGUCGCCGAGCUCAUGGAGACCUACACCGGCAACGGCAGGGUCGUCAUGCUCGGCGUCGACGACAUGGACAUAUUCAAGGGGAUCAGCCUCAAGCUGCUCGCCAUGGAGGAGCUGCUGGGGCAGCACCCCGAGUGGCGGGGCAGGCUGGUGCUGGUGCAGGUCGCCAACCCGGCGAGGGGCCGGGGGAAGGACGUCGUCGGCGUGCAGGAGGAGACCUAUGCCAUGGUGAAGAGGAUCAACGAGGCGUAUGGCGCGCCGGGGUACGAGCCGGUGGUGCUGAUUGACCAGCCACUGCAGUUCUACGAGCGCGUCGCCUACUACGUCAUUGCAGAGGUGUGCCUGGUGACCGCGGUCCGGGACGGCAUGAACUUGAUCCCCUAUGAGUACGUCGCCUCCCGGCAAGGCAACGACAGGCUUGACAGAAUACUGCGGCUGUGCAAGCCAGAGGAGAAGAAGAGCAUGCUGGUGGUGUCCGAGUUCAUCGGGUGCUCCCCGUCACUCAGCGGUGCCAUAAGGGUGAACCCAUGGAACAUCGAGGCCGUGGCCGACGCCAUGGAGUGCGCCCUUGUGCUGCCCGAGAAGGAGAAGAAUCUGCGGCACGACAAGCACUACCGCUACGUGGAGAAGCACGACGUCGGCUACUGGGCCAACAGCUUCCUCCAGGACCUUGAGAGGACCUGCAAGGAUCACUCGAACCGACGAUGCUGGGGAAUCGGCUUCGGCCUCCGGUUCAGGGUGGUCUCGCUUGACCUGAGCUUCAGGAAGCUCGCAAUGGAGCACAUUGUUCAGGCGUACAGGAGGUCGAAGACGCGCGCCAUUCUGCUGGACUACGACGGAACGCUGAUGCCGCAGGCGAUCAACAAGAGCCCCACUGCGAAAUCGGUCCAGAUACUCAAUAGCUUGUGCCAGGACCAGAGGAAUGCGGUGUUCCUUUGCAGCGGCUUCAAACGCUGCACGCUCGACGAGUGGUUCCCUGCCGAGAACCUUGGCAUGGCAGCUGAGCAUGGCUACUUCAUGAGGUAUGAGCUUAAGUUAAGGCUGAAGAGGGACGCAGAAUGGGAGACCUGCAUCCCACCCGCGGACUGCAGCUGGAUGCAGAUUGCAAAGCCGGUCAUGGAGCUCUACACCGAAACGACGGACGGUUCGAUAAUCGAGGAGAGGGACACGGUGCUCGUCUGGAACUACGAGGACGCGGACCCCGACUUCGGGUCAUGCCAGGCCAAGGAGCUCGUCGACCACCUCGAGAGCGUGCUCACCAACGAGCCGGUGUCCGUGAAGAGCACCGUGCACUCCGUCGAAGCUAAACCACAGGGCGUGAGCAAGGGCCUGGUGGCGCGGCGCAUGCUGGCGGCGCUGCAGGAGCGUGGCAUGUGCCCGGACUUCGUGCUCUGCAUCGGGGACGACCGCUCCGACGAGGACAUGUUCCAGUUCAUCACCAGCGCCUCCUGCGCCGACUCGUUCGCGUCCACGGCGGAGGUGUUCGCCUGCACCGUCGGCCGCAAGCCGAGCAAGGCCAAGUACUACCUCGACGACACGGCGGAGGUGGUGAGGCUGAUGCAGGGGCUGGCGUACGUCUCGGAGGAGCUCGCACUGGAGAACCCCGCGCUGGGAGAGGAGGACCCCGAGGACCUGUGGUGCGUCGGCGAGCUGCAGUAG